rnacentral:rRNA from 1 species
CCGGGAAACCGGGGCUAAUACCGGAUAACACAUGAAACCGCAUGGUUUCAUGAUGAAAGACGGUUUUGCUGUCACUUAUAGAUGGACCCGCGGCGUAUUAGCUAGUUGGUAAGGUAACGGCUUACCAAGGCAACGAUACGUAGCCGACCUGAGAGGGUGAUCGGCCACACUGGAACUGAGACACGGUCCAG